GAUGAACGCUGGCGGCGUGCCUAAUACAUGCAAGUCGAGCGAACAGACGAGGAGCUUGCUCCUCUGACGUUAGCGGCGGACGGGUGAGUAACACGUGUAUAACCUACCUAUAAGACUGGGAUAACUUCGGGAAACCGGAGCUAAUACCGGAUAAUAUAUUGAACCGCAUGGUUCAAUAGUGAAAGACGGUUUUGCUGUCACUUAUAGAUGGCUCCGCGCCGCAUUAGCUAGUUGGUAAGGUAACGGCUUACCAAGGCGACGAUGCGUAGCCGACCUGAGAGGGUGAUCGGCCACACUGGAACUGAGACACGGUCCAGACUCCUACGGGAGGCAGCAGUAGGGAAUCUUCCGCAAUGGGCGAAAGCCUGACGGAGCAACGCCGCGUGAGUGAUGAAGGUCUUCGGAUCGUAAAACUCUGUUAUUAGGGAAGAACAAAUGUGUAAGUAACUAUGCACGUCUUGACGGUACCUAAUCAGAAAGCCACGGCUAACUACGUG
rnacentral:rRNA from 1 species